rnacentral:rRNA from 1 species
AUUGAACGCUGGCGGCAGGCCUAACACAUGCAAGUCGAACGAGUGGCGGACGGGUGAGUAAUGUCUGGUAAACUGCCUGAUGGAGGGGGAUAAAUACUGGAAACGGUAGCUAAUACCGCAUACCAUCGGAUGUGCCCAGCUGGGAUUAGCUAGUUGGUGGGGUAAUGGCUCACCUAGGCUACGAUCCCUCGCUGGUCUGAGAGGACGACCAGCCACGCUGGAUCUGAGACACGGUACAGACUCCUACGGGGGGCAGCAGUGGGGAAUAUUGCACAAUGGGCGCAAGCCGAAGGCAGCCAUGCCGCGUGUAUGAAGAAGGCCUUCGGGUUGUAAAGUACUUUCAGCGGGGAGGCGUUACCCGCAGAAGAAGCACCGGCUAACUCCGUGCCAGCAGCCGCGGUAAUAC